UAAGUUAUGGCCUAGUUAAUUGUAGGCCCUGUGAAUGGUUUGACGAGUUUUCUUCUGUCUCUAGCUUGUUUAAGUGAACUUGAGUUGGAUGUGCAAAUGCUUCCUUGGUAAAGAAAGACGAGAAGACCCCGUGAAGUUAGAAAUUAAUGUGCAGAAUAGUGGGAGGCUACUUUUUCUGCCUUAUGGUUUUGGCUGGGGCAGCAAGGGGGCAAAAGUAGACCCCUUAAAAUUUAAUUCUGGUGAGUAAUGACCCAUAAGGUUUAAGGGUAUGAUUAGUAGAAGAAGUUACUCCGGGGAUAACAGCGUAAUCCGCCUUGACAGUCCUUAUAGAUGGGUGGGUUUGCGACCUCGAUGUUGGCUCUGGAUGUCCUGAAGCUGUAGGCGGUUUCAAGGGUUGGUUCGUUCGCCCAUUAAAAUCCAACGUGAUCU
rnacentral:rRNA from 1 species